GGUUAAGCGACUAAGCGUACACGGUGGAUGCCCUGGCAGUCAGAGGCGAUGAAGGACGUGCUAAUCUGCGAUAAGCGUCGGUAAGGUGAUAUGAACCGUUAUAACCGGCGAUUUCCGAAUGGGGAAACCCAGUGUGAUUCGUCACACUAUCGUUAACUGAAUACAUAGGUUAACGAAGCGAACCGGGGGAACUGAAACAUCUAAGUACCCCGAGGAAAAGAAAUCAACCGAGAUUCCCCCAGUAGCGGCGAGCGAACGGGGAGGAGCCCAGAGCCUGAAUCAGCAUGUGUGUUAGUGGAAGCGUCUGGAAAGGCGCGCGAUACAGGGUGACAGCCCCGUACACAAAAGCGCAUGUGCUGUGAGCUCGAUGAGUAGGGCGGGACACGUGGUAUCCUGUCUGAAUAUGGGGGGACCAUCCUCCAAGGCUAAAUACUCCUGACUGACCGAUAGUGAACCAGUACCGUGAGGGAAAGGCGAAAAGAACCCCGGCGAGGGGAGUGAAAAAGAACCUGAAACCGUGUACGUACAAGCAGUGGGAGCCCCACCACCAAAGCAUUCUCUGGUGUUGAAGGCCCUGCAAAGCAGCAUCGCGGUGGCGGAGCGUCGUUUGCGACGCCCAACACACAAAACAAGCGGUGAGUGCUUUGGGGUGGGGUGACUGCGUACCUUUUGUAUAAUGGGUCAGCGACUUAUAUUCUGUAGCAAGGUUAACCGUAUAGGGGAGCCGAAGGGAAACCGAGUCUUAACUGGGCGUUAAGUUGCAGGGUAUAGACCCGAAACCCGGUGAUCUAGCCAUGGGCAGGUUGAAGGUUGGGUAACACUAACUGGAGGACCGAACCGACUAAUGUUGAAAAAUUAGCGGAUGACUUGUGGCUGGGGGUGAAAGGCCAAUCAAACCGGGAGAUAGCUGGUUCUCCCCGAAAGCUAUUUAGGUAGCGCCUCGUGAACUCAUCUUCGGGGGUAGAGCACUGUUUCGGCUAGGGGGUCAUCCCGACUUACCAACCCGAUGCAAACUGCGAAUACCGAAGAAUGUUAUCACGGGAGACACACGGCGGGUGCUAACGUCCGUCGUGAAGAGGGAAACAACCCAGACCGCCAGCUAAGGUCCCAAAGUCACAGUUAAGUGGGAAACGAUGUGGGAAGGCUCAGACAGCCAGGAUGUUGGCUUAGAAGCAGCCAUCAUUUAAAGAAAGCGUAAUAGCUCACUGGUCGAGUCGGCCUGCGCGGAAGAUGUAACGGGGCUAAACUGUGCACCGAAGCUGCGGCAGCGACGCUUAUGCGUUGUUGGGUAGGGGAGCGUUCUGUAAGCCUGCGAAGGUGUCCUGUGAGGGAUGCUGGAGGUAUCAGAAGUGCGAAUGCUGACAUAAGUAACGAUAA
rnacentral:rRNA from 1 species